rnacentral:rRNA from 1 species
UACGGAGGAUGCGAGCGUUAUCCGGAUUUAUUGGGCUUAAAGGGUGCGCAGGCGGCGUGUCAAGUCAGCGGUAAAAUGUCGGGGCUCAACCCCGGCCGGCCGUUGAAACUGGCGUGCUCGAGUUGGAGAGAAGUAUGCGGAAUUCGUGGUGUAGCGGUGAAAUGCAUAGAUAUCACGAAGAACCCCGAUUGCGAAGGCAGCAUACCGGCUCCACACUGACGCUGAGGCACGAAAGCGUGGGUAUCGAACAGG